CAAAGAUUAUUAUAUGUGUCUUUGUGUUUCAGUGUCAUAUAUGAUACCAUCUGUUGGGCUGGAAAUCCAGCAUUUGGAAAACUGCAAAACCGAAAAUCCAGGAAAUUUUUUAACUUCCUCUGUACUACAUUGGAUGAAUUCUUUAAAAAAUUAUUUAAAGUGUGCUGGGGACUCUGCAGGAUGAGGAACACUACAGUCAGCCAGCUUUUCUUUCUAAGGAAUCUCUGUGGAUCAAAACUUCAUUAUCCAGGAUGUACCCAACACAUAUCAAACUAG
rnacentral:lncRNA from 1 species